AGCUUUGGGCAGUGGCAGUAUCGUAAUCAAUGAGGAUUAUCCGAGCUGUGAUUAUUGCUAAUUGAAUAU
rnacentral:snRNA from 1 species